CAAUUAAAUUUCUUAUCUAUUCUAAUUUUGUUAUUUUUUUUUGUUCUGUUGGAUUUCAGUGCGUUAAGAGCUAUAAUACAUUGAGAGAAAGAUUUCUGACGAUACAACCAAUUAAUGAAAGCCCUAUAAACAUUGGAAGAAGGGGCAUUAAAGAUAUAGAAUUUAGCAGUGAAAGAGUGUUUGUAAAUUAUAAUGUAUAGAAAUUAGUAAGUUAAUUUAAGUCUCUUUGUAUUUGUUGAUCAUAUUAUUCUCUCAUUGCUGCGAUAAAUGUAUCUUUAGACCCACAUGUUUAACUAAACAUAGAGUAGAGCUUUCCACUACCAUUUUAUGCAUUGUAAGUACUUCCCGACUUUUUCACGUAUUCUAACGAAUGAAAGCUAAUUAUGAUAUCAUUUUGAUUAAUUGUUAUAUAUCUUAAUUUAUUUCUAUAGAAAUGGCCCGUUGCAACGCGCGGGUACCUACAUUAGUUAAGCAUAGUAACAGGAUCACCAAUAGGAAUAAAGGAUAAAGUCAUAGCUGAAAAAAUAAAAUGUAUGUUUUAUCAAUAAAAUAUCAUAUCCAAAAAUUAUCAUACCAAAAUUGAAAAAAUACUCCUUAUAUGACAUCACAAUACCUCCUUUAGAAGCAGAGUUAUGAGUACAAGUAUUUAUCAUUCUUUAUGUAUAUGCUUUAUAUGACAUCACAAUACCUCCUUUGGGAGCAGAGUUUUGAGAAUAAAUAUGCAAUAUCUUUAUCAGAGAUUAAUUUAAACUUUUUGCAGGUCAUGGUAAUUUCAAAAUUUUCAUAUGAAAAAAUUGUCAGGUUUGACCAGGCAAAUUUCUCCAAACGAGUUAUAAGAAAAUUACCAUCCUACACCACCUAUUUACCUUCAUGUCUAGACUUCCUUUGG
rnacentral:lncRNA from 1 species